rnacentral:rRNA from 1 species
GAGAGCUUGCUCUCUGGAUCAGUGGCGAACGGGUGAGUAACACGUGAGCAACCUGCCCCGGACUCUGGGAUAACAGCUGGAAACAGCUGCUAAUACCGGAUACGAGCUGCGAAGGCAUCUUCAGCAGCUGGAAAGAAUUUCGGUCCGGGAUGGGCUCGCGGCCUAUCAGCUAGUUGGUGAGGUAAUGGCUCACCAAGGCGUCGACGGGUAGCCGGCCUGAGAGGGUGACCGGCCACACUGGGACUGAGACACGGCCCAGACUCCUACGGGAGGCAGCAGUGGGGAAUAUUGCACAAUGGGCGAAAGCCUGAUGCAGCAACGCCGCGUGAGGGAUGACGGCCUUCGGGUUGUAAACCUCUUUUAGCAGGGAAGAAGCGAAAGUGACGGUACCUGCAGAAAAAGCGCCGGCUAACUACGUGCCAGCAGCCGCGGUAAUACGUAGGGCGCAAGCGUUAUCCGGAAUUAUUGGGCGUAAAGAGCUCGUAGGCGGUUUGUCGCGUCUGCUGUGAAAACCCGAGGCUCAACCUCGGGCCUGCAGUGGGUACGGGCAGACUAGAGUGCGGUAGGGGAGAUUGGAAUUCCUGGUGUAGCGGUGGAAUGCGCAGAUAUCAGGAGGAACACCGAUGGCGAAGGCAGAUCUCUGGGCCGUAACUGACGCUGAGGAGCGAAAGGGUGGGGAGCAAACA